UACAGGGGGUGCAAACGUUGCUCGGAAUUAUUGGGCGUAAAGCGCACGUAGGCGGUCUGUUAUGUCAGAUGUGAAAGCCCUUGGCUCAACUGAGGAAGUGCAUCCGAAACUGGCAAGCUAGAGUACUAAAGAGGGUCGCGGAAUUCCCGGUGUAGAGGUGAAAUUCGUAGAUAUCGGGAGGAACACCGGUGGCGAAGGCGGCGACCUGGGUAGAUACUGACGCUGAGGUGCGAAAGCGUGGGGAGCAAACAGG
rnacentral:rRNA from 1 species